CUGCAGAUAACUUGGAAUACUUCGAUAUCUAAAUAAAUAUAAACGCCAUCUGUGUUUUUAUGCGCUAAAAAUAAUGUCAUACGACACACAAAGCCAAAAAAUACUAAAAACUAGACGCCAUCUUGACAUUCCGGCUACCAGCCUCAAGUGAACGAGACGUCUGCUUUGAAAACUUUUUCGGAGAACGCAUACACAACGAAAAAAGUCAGAUAAAGAAAACAGAACACCGAAAAAAAAUAUUAAGGGAAAAGGUAAGAAGAAAAUAACGAAAAAGACA
rnacentral:misc_RNA from 1 species